rnacentral:rRNA from 1 species
GAAACCCGGUGAUCUAGCCAUGGGCAGGUUGAAGGUUGGGUAACACUAACUGGAGGACCGAACCGACUAAUGUUGAAAAAUUAGCGGAUGACUUGUGGCUGGGGGUGAAAGGCCAAUCAAACCGGGAGAUAGCUGGUUCUCCCCGAAAGCUAUUUAGGUAGCGCCUCGUGAAUUCAUCUCCGGGGGUAGAGCACUGUUUCGG